AGACUGAGAUCCAGGCAUCAGGAGAGGGUGUUUUAUUAAAAGUGUGGCUGGAGCAGCAUGCAAGGAUGAAAAAGAUUGAGAAAGAAUGGACUCUUCAGUAAAUGUUGAGGAAGAUAUUUUCUGAAGAGGAUUAGUAGAAGAGGCUAUGGAAAGAAGAAUAGGAGAGGAGACCAGAGGAGAAAAAACUGAGCAAGAUGGGAAAAUGCAGAAUGAAGGGAAUGUACAAGAAGAAAAGACUUAAGAAGAACACAGUGUACAUGGAGAUGGAAAAGAACAAGAAAGAAGAAAGAAAAAGGAGGAAGAAAGAGAGACAAGAGAGUUUCAGAAUGGGUCCAGUGUCUGACAGUAUUGGUUUCAGCAUAGAUCCAAGGUUGGAUAACAUCACCUUCAGACUGGGGUCCAGGGUCUGACUGCAUUCUUUUCAGAUUGGUUCCAUGGGUGGAUUAUGGCUGCAUCCAGGUAACCGCCAGCUGGUGUGGGGCUGGUUUCCCCAACAUCUGGUGGCCAACGCGGGGCUCCCCAUAAUCUCUACAAAUAAUCCAGUGAAGGAACGCCAGAGCGUGCAAAGUGGAGGACGACUGACAAAGGACACCUGAAUAUGUUUUCACUUCAAGCUCUACAGCAACUGUAUGUCAGAUAACGAUGCACAUUACUGCAGAAAUCACAUAUACAGGUCCAAAGGGAGACGAAGAAGAAGAAGAAAGCAAGGUUUAAAGUCUAUACAUUCCUAACACUGUAUCAGAAACUCAGUAAUGACAGUGAAAUCAAAGAAUGAUCACAGUCAAUUCCAUGUCAUACCUAGACUGAAAUAUGAAACGUCAAAAGAAAAGAAAGUUAAGAACUUUGGGCUUGUAAAAAUUUUCCCAUACAGAUGAAAUUAUUGGUAACUUUGUCUCACUAGAAAACAUAAACAAAAAUCCACUUUUUGCAUAUGUGUAAACAGAAAUAUUUUUAUUUCCAUCAGUUAUGACAUGCAAGCAAGUAAUAAAGUGAAAGUACAAUACAAUGAUAUAUGAAAUUUUCUCAGUAUUAAAAUAUUCCAUUGAGACUAUUUAUUUUAUGAAAACCAUAAAGAGUCUUCAUUAAACUACAUUACAUAGUACUUUUUAGUGUUUUACUUAUAGUUUAAAUAAUCAACAAAUUAAAGGGAAUUCUUCAACAUUAUUUAUUACCAAUACUGUUAUUCUACUUGAGUAAUCCUUUUAAAAUUAUUUUAAAUAAAACAUUAAAAACAAAUUAUAUUGACUGAUUUCAGCUUUUGAUGAAAGCAUACUUCUGUAUUUGUAGUAAUGUGAAGUAUAACUUUCUUCUCACAAUGGGUCUUUUAUAACACGAGUGUUAUUGUUUUGUCUAAUACAAACCCUGUGUUAUUUUAUGGCUUUACUGUAUCCAUACAUUACACGCCUCCAGAGAGUAGGCUUCGAACAGAUGGAAAAAUUAUAUUUGUGACAAACUUCAAGGAAAGGAAAUGGUAAAAUGGGAGAAUAAUUUCUAACUUUCUAACUGUUGGUCAAUGCAGUUGUACAUGUUUAGAUGUAGACACAUAUUUGCACACUGCAAGUUUGCACAUGUACAUAGAAAUUUAUAUGAGAUACCCAAAAUAUAUGGGUUGUGUAAUUUUUUAAUUAAUCCACAAUUUUAUAUGCAUGAAAUUUGAUAAGCGGUUACAUUAUCCAUAUUCAAUUUGUUGUAAAGCCAACAAAAUCUCUGUCAGCAUUCAUUUCAAUUAAUACAAUAAUGUUAACUGCUGAUAGCUUCAUUUUCCUUGUUCCAUGCUGGCAACCUGAAAGUAGAUUCUCACUCUAAUUAGCACUUAGGGUGCGAUCCACAAGACACUGUCACCUUGCUGUGGAUUGUGACCUCUGACGACUACUCUUUCUUCCUAUAGCAUUCCUACUUUGCAUAUUUAAUAAACUUUGUGCAUGGUUAAAAGGAUAAAAGUGAAGUGAAAUGUAGGCCAUGCUGUGAAAUGUUCCAUUGUUUCUAUAUCUCUGACUGACUUUUCAUGCUAUAGAGGACAAGAAAGACAAUUCAAUAUGUUUCUUAUUAUCCAGUCCAAAGCACUCUUUCUUACUAAUAUGCCAAAUCCGUUGCUUCAAGGCACUGACAUCUAAACACGGCUACACAUCUCAAAAUCUCUUCUCAUUAAUAACCGUUACGUUAAUCACUGUUGUCCAGAACUGGAAUCUGACUGUGAAAUCCCCAGGUGGAAAUUGCUAUAAUGGCUCAAACUAUGGGAAUGACUAUUUUUCAGCGUAAUUGCUGCUGUCAUCUUACUGAAAAAUAUCAUAUUAGAUGGCAGCUUUUAGUUACAUAAAUCCUGUUAUUAAUUUUUAAUGUCCCACAUUUUUAUGAUAUUGCACAAGUAAAGAUCUUUGAUAACUUAAAUGGUAAACUGAGCAAUUGCUAAAAUAACUCACAGCACUUCAAACAUUCAUUUACUUACUAGGAGUGCCACAUAUCAUCGACCCCUGAUUAAAACAAAGUUGGAAAAUUAGUUAUUAAAGUAUGCAUUUCAAGAUAUUUUUAAAAACUACCCAUGCCAUAUAUGAUGCCCUAUCUGCAAGGAUGAAGCCUUAGCAUAAAUGUUUCAAAGCAGAGAAAUCUAAACAAUACUGGCAACAUGACAUCCCAAUCAUGUGCUCAAGUGUAUGUUUGUGCCUCUAGGGAGGCAACUUAAGUGGUGUGUAAUAUUACCAUUUUCAUUCUCCCCAGUACCUCUUUUAUUUAAAACAAACAAAUGUUUCACUAUUUGCAAGAAAAAAAUGAGUUCUUACUCUAUUGUAUAACUGAUAUUUCUAUCAGCUUGUUUUAAUCUUCCUAUGAACUGUGAAUGCUUAGAUAACUUUCAGUGUAUC
rnacentral:lncRNA from 1 species